rnacentral:pre_miRNA from 4 species
CCCAGUGUUCAGACUACCUGUUCAGGAUCUUACUGGUGUACAGUAGUCUGCACAUUGGUU